rnacentral:ribozyme from 1 species
GUUAAUACUUGCUCUGCUAAUGGGGUAGGAACCGAAGCUCCUCUCGGGGUUACACAGGCUCUCCUACCCAACUCCUAUUCCGUCACGUCCUCGUCGUACAGAGUGGUAACUUUCUCCACCACAUAUCCAAGCUUGGGUACACGGGCCUGUCCCAACCCCUUGGGCGGAUGGUGGAGAAAGGCUAAACAGGAGGGG